AGCGAACGCUGGCGGCAGGCAUAACACAUGCAAGUCGAACGAAGUCUUCGGGGUUAGUGGCGGACGGGUGACUAACACGUGGGAACGUGCCUUUAGGUUCGGAAUAGCUCCUGGAAACGGGGGAUAAUGCCGAAUGUGCCCUUCGGGGGAAAGAUUUAUCGCCUUUAGAGCGGCCCGCGUCUGAUUAGCUAGUUGGUGAGGUAAGGGCUCACCAAGGCGACGAUCAGUAGCGGGUCUGAGAGGAUGACCAGCCACACUGGGACUGAGACACGGCCCAGACUCCUACGGGAGGCAGCAGUGGGGAAUCUUGCGCAAUGGGCGAAAGCCUGACGCAGCCAUGCCGCGUGAAUGAUGAAGGUCUUAGGAUUGUAAAAUUCUUUCACCGGGGACGAUAAUGACGGUACCCGGAGAAGAAGCCCCGGCUAACUUCGUGCCAGCAGCCGCCGUAA
rnacentral:rRNA from 1 species